CCUACGGGUGGCUGCAGUAGGGAAUAUUGGGCAAUGGGGGCAACCCUGACCCAGCCAUGCCGCGUGCAGGAAGAAGGCCCUCUGGGUUGUAAACUGCUUUUGACCGGGAAGAAGGCUCUGUUUGCGAACAGGGUCGGACGGUACCGGAGAGAAUAAGCACCGGCUAACUACGUGCCAGCAGCCGCGGUAAUACGUAGGGUGCGAGCGUUGUCCGGAUUCACUGGGUUUAAAGGGUGCGCAGGCGGCCCGUGCAAGUCAGCGUUCAAAGUCCGGGG
rnacentral:rRNA from 1 species